rnacentral:lncRNA from 1 species
GGUCAUGUUUGUCAGAUUUCAAAUAGCUGCUAAAAGUAAAGCCAAACCAUACCUCUCUCAGUGGUGGUUUCUCUCUGCCAUGCUCCGUCUUUCAAUUUCUGAUCGAGAAGUUUUUGUUGAACUCCAGAAGUUCUCUCCGACCUCUCUCUCUCUCCUCUUUAUUUGUUCAUCCGCCACCCUGUCGGUCUCUGCAGCUGUCUUUUUUUCUUCUCUUCUCUUCUCUUCUUUUCUUUUCUCAGCUCUGGUGUCUGUGGGGGAGCUGGAGCUGUCACCUGCUGAUCAGCGGAGCCCGGCGCGCAUGACGAAGGAGUGAGUGAAGAAAUGAAGGAGAAGUAGGAGCCAGGGAUUCACACCUCCUGAUGACUGACUCGCUCUGUGGCUGAGGGGCUCGCGAGGCUCUGCAUGAGCGAGUGUGACAGAGUAAUCUUCAGACGCCGUCAAUGGACACUCAAGAAAGGAUGCGUCCCUGCUGAUCAUCUGCUGUUUGUCUUCCAUAAUAAGGAUGAACAGAAGCAGAGAGAGAGAGAGGGAGAGACUGAGCGAGAGAGAGAGGAAGACAAAAAGAGAGGGAGAGAGAACUUUGAGCCACCCAUGGGAAGCAAUGGGAGAAAGAUGAUGACACUUCAUUUUUAUGCUUUUCUCCUUCUCUCUUUAUCUUCAUCUCUCUCUCACUCUUUCUCUCUCUCUCAAAUUCAAAUUAAGGAGUUUUAUUAGCAUUAUUGUUGUGUGAAACCGUUUGGCCAAAAUGCUGAUGAUGAAAAACAACAAGUAGGCAUUACUUUACACUAGUGCUGUCAGUUUAACGCGUUAUUAACGGCGUUAACGCAAACCCAUUUUAACGCCGUUAAUUUUUUUAUUGCGAGAUUAACGCGAUUUUUUUUUUUUUUUUUAGAUUAACAUUCUUUUUGGCCUCGCAAACUGUGUAGUAGGCUAACGUUACGGUUUGAGUGAAUGGUGAGCGCGAUACGGCGAAAUGGAUGAUAAAAAAGCUUCUGAAUGGAAAGUUUACUUUUAAAAGUUGUGUUGUGCAAAAGAAGCGAGCUUCACUGUUGUCUGAAACUGUCAACGGGCAGCUGGCUGAAAGCAAAGAAGUAGUAGGCUUACCUUUUAUUGGUAACCUAACUGUUACGGUUCAAUGUUUCUGAAAUAAGAGGCCUGACUGCUAUGUUCCCAGCAAACUUGAAAAAAAUAAAAUAUUAAGCCAUGGUUUAACUGCA